rnacentral:pre_miRNA from 1 species
GGUCAAAAAGCAGAAUAAGGCAGGGAACGGGCAGAGCAUGGAUGGAGCCUUCAACACAAGGAAUGCUGUUGUGGCUCUACUCAUGCACUGCCUCUUCCCUGGCUGUGCCUCUCUUCUUUUU